rnacentral:rRNA from 1 species
AGAGUUUGAUCCUGGCUCAGGAUGAACGCUGGCUGUGUGCCUAAUACAUGCAUGUUGAACGAAGCUAAAAGUGCCUGCACUUUAAGACUUAGUAGCGAAUGGGUGAGUAACACGUACUUAACCUACCCCCAAGUUUGGGAUAACGUUUGGAAACGAACGCUAAUACCGAAUACGUAUUUUUAUCGCAUGAUAGAAAUAUAAAAGGAGCUUCGGCUUCGCUAGGGGAUGGGAGUGCGCUACAUUAGUUAGUUGGUAGGGUAAUGGCCUACCAAGACUAUGAUGUAUAGCGGGGCCGAGAGGCUGAUCCGCCACACUGGGACUGAGAUACGGCCCAGACUCCUACGGGAGGCAGCAGUAGGGAAUUUUCCACAAUGAACGAAAGUUUGAUGGAGCGACACAGCGUGCAGGAUGAAGGUCUUCGGAUCGUAAACUGCUGUUAUAAGGGAAGAAAAACUUUAGUAGGUAAUGACUAGAACUUGACGGUACCUUAUCAGAAAGCGACGGCUAACUAUGUGCCAGCAGCCGCGGUAAU